CUGCUCCUCUGGGGCAGAUCUGCAGGGUACAGAGCAGCAAACAAGUCCGUGAGAGCAUGGCGUCUGGACUGCCCCUUGGAGUGAUGGGGACUGGGGCCCCCAGGGGCACCUCCCUGGGCCUGUUGUAUCUGUUGACUCUUCUGCAAAAAGUAGACAGAGAAGAGAGCAGGCUGGCCCGCUGUGCUCUACUGUGUCUGUCCCAGGACUCGGAAGUAUUACAGUUCCAAAACGUAACUUGAAGGUCAGCACAGGAGCUGCUGUGAUAUAAAAGGAGAGAGUCACCUGGCGCCCCCUGCAGUCCUCCAGUUGCCCAGCAGCAGUGGGACGUUCAGUGGCACACAGUGGGUCUCUGUAUGGCCUCCCACCUGCAAGGACUUCCCCGGGCAGGCCCAGCUGCCCAGAAGCCCCGGAACACACAGGAAGACAACACUAUAGGAUGGCAGGUGGGGAUCUGUGCAAUACAAACAUGUAGCUAGAAAACCC
ensembl:lncRNA novel transcript, antisense to TBC1D2B